rnacentral:rRNA from 1 species
AACGAACGCUGGCGGCGCGCCUAAUACAUGCAAGUCGAGCGAGAAGGUGUAGCAAUACACUUGUAAAGCGGCGAACGGGUGAGGAAUGCAUGGGUAACCUACCCUCGAGUGGGGAAUAACUAGCCGAAAGGUUAGCUAAUACCGCAUACGUUUCCGGAACUUCGGUUUCGGAAAGAAAGCAAUACCGUGGGUAUUGCGCUCCUGGAUGGGCUCAUGUCCUAUCAGCUUGUUGGUGAGGUAACGGCUCACCAAGGCUUCGACGGGUAGCUGGUCUGAGAGGACGAUCAGCCACACUGGCACUGCGACACGGGCCAGACUCCUACGGGAGGCAGCAGUAAGGAAUAUUGCGCAAUGGACGAAAGUCUGACGCAGCGACGCCGCGUGGGGGAUGAAGGUCUUCGGAUUGUAAACCCCUUUCGGGAGGGAAGAUGGAGUGGGUAACCACUUGGACGGUACCUCUACGAAGCAGCCACGGCUAACUUCGUGCCAGCAGCCGCGGUAA